GACGUAGGGGGCCAGCGUUGUUCGGAAUUACUGGGUGUAAAGGGUUCGUAGGCGGUGUGGCAAGUCGGGAGUGAAAUCUCUGGGCUCAACCCAGAGUCUGCUUCCGAAACUGCUGUGCUUGAGUGUGGGAGAGGCGCGUGGAAUUGCAGGUGUAGCGGUGAAAUGCGUAGAUAUCGGGAGGAACACCUAUGGCGAAGGCAGCUCGCUGGGACGUUACUGACGCUGAGACGCGAAAGCGUGUGGAGCAAACAGG
rnacentral:rRNA from 1 species